UCCCUGCUGGUUUAGACAGUAAAGAAUUUGCCUGAAAUGCAGGAGACCCAGGCUCACUUCCUGGGUCGGGAA
rnacentral:tRNA from 1 species